rnacentral:hammerhead_ribozyme from 1 species
ACCAAGCUGACGAGUCCCAAAUAGGACGAAACUCGCGUCCUAAAU